CAACUUUCAACAACGGAUCUCUUGGUUCUGGCAUCGAUGAAGAACGCAGCGAAAUGCGAUAAGUAGUGUGAAUUGCAGAAUUCAGUGAAUCAUCGAAUCUUUGAACGCACAUUGCGCCCCUU
rnacentral:rRNA from 1 species